GAUGAACGCUGGCGGCGUGCCUAAUACAUGCAAGUCGAGCGAACGGACGAGAAGCUUGCUUCUCUGAUGUUAGCGGCGGACGGGUGGGUAACACGUGGAUAACCUACCUAUAAGACUGGGAUAACUUCGGGAAACCGUAGCUAAUACCGGAUAAUAUUUUGAACCGCAUGGUUCAAAAGUGAAAGACGGUCUUGCUGUCACUUAUAGAUGGAUCCGCGCUGCAUUAGCUAGUUGGUAAGGUAACGGCUUACCAAGGCAACGAUGCAUAGCCGACCUGAGAGGGUGAUCGGCCACACUGGAACUGAGACACGGUCCAGACUCCUACGGGAGGCAGCAGUAGGGAAUCUUCCGCAAUGGGCGAAAGCCUGACGGAGCAACGCCGCGUGAGUGAUGAAGGUCUUCGGAUCGUAAAACUCUGUUAUUAGGGAAGAACAUAUGUGUAAGUAACUGUGCACAUCUUGACGGUACCUAAUCAGAAAGCCACGGCUAACUACGU
rnacentral:rRNA from 1 species